rnacentral:rRNA from 1 species
GACGAACGCUGGCGGCGUGCUUAACACAUGCAAGUCGAACGGCAAGGCCCUGCUUUUGUGGGGUGCUCGAGUGGCGAACGGGUGAGUAACACGUGAGUAACCUGCCCUUGACUUUGGGAUAACUUCAGGAAACUGGGGCUAAUACCGGAUAGGAGCUCCUGCUGCAUGGUGGGGGUUGGAAAGUUUCGGCGGUUGGGGAUGGACUCGCGGCUUAUCAGCUUGUUGGUGGGGUAGUGGCUUACCAAGGCUUUGACGGGUAGCCGGCCUGAGAGGGUGACCGGGCACAUUGGGACUGAGAUACGGCCCAGACUCCUACGGGAGGCAGCAGUGGGGAAUAUUGCACAAUGGGCGGAAGCCUGAUGCAGCAACGCCGCGUGCGGGAUGACGGCCUUCGGGUUGUAAACCGCUUUCGCCUGUGACGAAGCGUGAGUGACGGUAAUGGGUAAAGAAGCACCGGCUAACUACGUG